GUUUUUCAAUUUUUUUCACCGGUUUUAAAAAGUGGUUUCACAUUCAAUAAAGACAUGUGAACCCUGAUAAAGCUAGUGGAAAUAUCGGAAAAC
ensembl:miRNA mir-799 ncRNA